rnacentral:pre_miRNA from 1 species
CAAAAAAAAAAAAAAAGACUUUUAUAUCCAACGUUGACUAUCCGUCUUAUAUGAAAUUUUUUUAUAAUUAGUAUUUUUGUUGUUGUUAGAUGAUAAAACGUGAUUAAUACUUUAUACGUGACUUGUCUUUUUAUUUUUUUUCAUAUUUUUUUUAGAUAAGACGGUCAAACGUUGGACACGAAAACCCAGGGUUUGUCUUUUU